rfam:Pseudomonas monteilii strain TSDA-ARS-TSMARC-56711, complete genome.
AGUGAUUACCGGGCCCCUCUGACGGCUGCCAGGCCGCCAUGUCGGAAUCACGG